rnacentral:misc_RNA from 1 species
CAAGAAGAGUUUUGCAAGAGACUCGAAAACCAUCGCGAAACAUACCUCGUCGUCGUUGCUUCGGCGGGCGGCCCCAGGCCGGGGCCGCAGCCCCCGAGAGGGCGCCCGCCGGAGGAACCGAAACACUCUGUUUUCUCGGCGUCUCCUCUGAGUACGACUAGCGAAAUAAGUCA